GUCAGUUCAUGCAGAUUAGACAGUUCGAGAGCCGGAAGGUGUGUGCUCACGAUGUGAAAUACGGCUUGCCGGCUGUGGGGCUGAGUAAUGGGCGUCUCAGCCUAUGCCCAGUGCUGGAAUGUCCCCUGGUCUGUCGCAGCAGGCACCUCCAAUGGAGCUUCUGGGCUCGGUAACUGCUCCAGCGGUGUUCGGCAUGACGGUCUCCUGUUCAGCAGUGCAGCGGUCAUCCAAUGCUGUGUGGCAUGGAGCUGUGCUGAUCUGUGAGUCUUGGGUCGAGUGGGUGGCGUGCAGAUGAGGAUUGCUUGAUGCAGCAGCUCCCAUGUGAGCGGGAGAGUCUGUCUGAAUGGCGUGUUGCUGUUUCCCGCUUUGUCGUCUGCGAUGUCUGCUCAGCCUGAUGAGCGCUCUGGAAUCGUGUAUUAAGUGCCCAUAUUGGCGUCGCCGGGUCGCAGGGCGGAUCCAGGAGGCCACUGUUUUGACUGCUAGGAAGUAGGGCAUUCCACGCUGGCAGAGCACUGACCAAAAUCUCCUGCAGAGCCGAUUGAAAGCCUCCAGAGAUUGCAUAGGUGGCUGGGUUAAUGUGCUCUUUGUCUGCGGCUUGCACUGAGCCGCCAUCUUGCGAGUGCCUCGGUAGUCCGUUGCCCCCGCAGAUUAUGUAGCCGGUAGGCUUGUCAACAGUUCUGGUCUGAGUGUCCAGUGGGGACCAGGAUAACCCCCACUGGUCCAAAGGCGGGGGAGUAGGAGACCAGCAAAGUCGCUCAAGGGUGAUGGUGUCGGGGGGAGCGUCCGCCUCUCCCCGGCUCAAAUCCCAGUAGGCCGCACGUGGCGUUCUGUCCCGACGGGCUCCAGAAAGGUGUUGCUUGAUUUAGUGGUGUGCCCCCGAUCUGGGUGGUGCACCCUGGUAGUUCCUUGGGCUGUAUAGCCACCGAUUUUGCCCCAAUUUCUGUCUGCCAGGCAGGAGCUUGUGUGACCC